rnacentral:rRNA from 1 species
AGCGAACGCUGGCGGCAGGCCUAACACAUGCAAGUCGAACGAACCUUUCGGGGUUAGUGGCGGACGGGUGCGUAACACGUGGGAACGUGCCUUUAGGUUCGGAAUAACUCAGGGAAACUUGUGCUAAUACCGAAUGUGCCCUUCGGGGGAAAGAUUAAUCGCCUUUAGAGCGGCCCGCGUCUGAUUAGCUAGUUGGUUGAGGUAAUGGCUCACCAAGGCGACGAUCAGUAGCUGGUCUGAGAGGAUGAUCAGCCACAUUGGGACUGAGACACGGCCCAAACUCCUACGGGAGGCAGCAGUGGGGAAUCUUGCGCAAUGGGCGAAAGCCUGACGCAGCCAUGCCGCGUGAAUGAUGAAGGUCUUAGGAUUGUAAAAUUCUUUCACCGGGGACGAUAAUGACGGUACCCGGAGAAGAAGCCCCGGCUAACUUCGUG